rnacentral:rRNA from 1 species
GACGAACCGUGCGAACGUUAUUCGGAAUCACUGGGCUUAAAGGGCGCGUAGGCGGGCCGCCAAGUCAGGGGUGAAAGCCUCCGGCUCAACCGGAGAAGUGCCUUUGAUACUGGCGGCCUAGAGGGAGGUAGGGGCCUGCGGAACUUCCGGUGGAGCGGUGAAAUGCGUAGAUAUCGGAAGGAACGCCGGUGGCGAAAGCGGCGGGCUGGACCUCUUCUGACGCUGAGGCGCGAAAGCCAGGGGAGCAAACAGG